rnacentral:rRNA from 1 species
GUCGAGGGGCAUCGGGGCGAGGAGCAAUCCUUGCCGCCGGCGACCGGCGCACGUUUGAGUAACGCGUAUGCGACCUGCCCGUUGCAGGGGGAUAAUCGGGAGAAAUCCCGUCUAAUACCGCGUAACGCCGCGGGGCUGCAUGGCCCUGCGGCCAAAGGAAGCGAUUCCGGCAACGGAUGGGCAUGCGUGACAUUAGCUAGUUGGCGGGGCAACGGCCCACCAAGGCGACGAUGUCUAGGGGUUCUGAGAGGAAGGUCCCCCACACUGGUACUGAGACACGGACCAGACUCCUACGGGAGGCAGCAGUGAGGAAUAUUGGUCAAUGGGCGCGAGCCUGAACCAGCCAAGUCGCGUGAGGGAUGACGGCCCUACGGGUUGUAAACCUCUUUUGUCGGGGAGCAAAUUCCGCCACGCGUGGCGGAGUCGAGAGUACCCGAAGAAAAAGCAUCGGCUAACUCCGUGCCAGCAGCCGCGGUAAUACGGAGGAUGCGAGCGUUAUCCGGAUUUAUUGGGUUUAAAGGGUGCGUAGGCGGACUGUCAAGUCAGCGGUAAAAUACGGGGGCUCAACCUCCGCCCGCCGUUGAAACUGACGGUCUUGAGUGGGCGAGAAGUAUGCGGAAUGCGUGGUGUAGCGGUGAAAUGCAUAGAUAUCACGCAGAACUCCGAUUGCAAAGGCAGCAUACCGGCGCC